rnacentral:rRNA from 1 species
AGCUUGNUCUCGGGUGACNAGNGGCGGACGGGUGAGUAAUGUCUGGGAAACUGCCUGAUGGAGGGGGAUAACUACUGGAAACNGNAGCUAAUACCNCAUAACGUCNCAAGACCAAAGAGGGGGACCUUCGGGCCUCUUGCCAUCAGAUGUGCCCAGAUGGGAUUAGCUAGUAGGUGGGGUAACGGCUCACCUAGGCGACGAUCCCUAGCUGGUCUGAGAGGAUGACCAGCCACACUGGAACUGAGACACGGUCCAGACUCCUACGGGAGGCAGCAGUGGGGAAUAUUGCACAAUGGGCGCAAGCCUGAUGCAGCCAUGCCGCGUGUAUGAAAAAGGCCUUCGGGUUGUAAAGUACUUUCAGCGGGGAGGAAGGUGUUGAGGUUAAUAACCUCGUCUAUUGANGUUACCCCCACAAAAGACGCCGCGGCACUCCCCGCCCCAGCAGCCGGGGUAACACAGGGUGUGCAAGCGUUAAUCGGAAUUACUGGGCGUAAAGCGCACGCAGGCGGUCUGUCAAGUCGGAUGUGAAAUCCCCGGGCUCAACCUGGGAACUGCAUUCGAAACUGGCAGGCUAGAGUCUUGUAGAGGGGGGUAGAAUUCCAGGUGUAGCGGUGAAAUGCGUAGAGAUCUGGAGGAAUACCGGUGGCGAAGGCGGCCCCCUGGACAAAGACUGACGCUCAGGUGCGAAAGCGUGGGGAGCAAACAGGAUUAGAUACCCUGGUAGUCCACGCCGUAAACGAUGUCGACUUGGAGGUUGUGCCCUUGAGGCGUGGCUUCCGGAGCUAACGCGUUAAGUCGACCGCCUGGGGAGUACGGCCGCAAGGUUAAAACUCAAAUGAAUUGACGGGGGCCCGCACAAGCGGUGGAGCAUGUGGUUUAAUUCGAUGCAACGCGAAGAACCUUACCUACUCUUGACAUCCAGAGAACUUUCCAGAGAUGGAUUGGUGCCUUCGGGAACUCUGAGACAGGUGCUGCAUGGCUGUCGUCAGCUCGUGUUGUGAAAUGUUGGGUUAAGUCCCGCAACGAGCGCAACCCUUAUCCUUUGUUGCCAGCGGUUAGGCCGGGAACUCAAAGGAGACUGCCAGUGAUAAACUGGAGGAAGGUGGGGAUGACGUCAAGUCAUCAUGGCCCUUACGAGUAGGGCUACACACGUGCUACAAUGGCGCAUACAAAGAGAAGCGACCUCGCGAGAGCAAGCGGACCUCAUAAAGUGCGUCGUAGUCCGGAUUGGAGUCUGCAACUCGACUCCAUGAAGUCGGAAUCGCUAGUAAUCGUGGAUCAGAAUGCCACGGUGAAUACGUUCCCGGGCCUUGUACACACCGCCCGUCACACCAUGGGAGUGGGUUGCAAAAGAAGUAGGUAGCNUAACCUUCGGGAGGGCG